rnacentral:rRNA from 1 species
GAUGAACGCUGGCGGCGUGCCUAAUACAUGCAAGUCGAACGCUGGAGAUCUAGCUUGCUAGAUCGAAGGAGUGGCGAACGGGUGAGUAAUACAUAAGCAACCUACCCACGAAGACUGGGAUAAUCUCUGGAAACGGGGACUAAUACCGGAUAGGUAAUCGGAAGGCAUCUUCUGAUUAUUAAAGGUUAAAAACACUGGUGGAUGGGCUUAUGGCGCAUUAGUUAGUUGGUGAGGUAACGGCCCACCAAGACGAUGAUGCGUAGCCGGCCUGAGAGGGUGAACGGCCACAUUGGGACUGAGACACGGCCCAGACUCCUACGGGAGGCAGCAGUAGGGAAUUUUCGGCAAUGGGGGAAACCCUGACCGAGCAACGCCGCGUGAGUGAUGACGGCCUUCGGGUUGUAAAGCUCUGUUGUAAGGGAAGAACGGUAGAUAGAGAAUAUCUAAGUGACGGUACCUUACCAGAAAGCCACGGCUAACUACGUGCCAGCAGCCGCGGUAAUACGUAGGUGGCGAGCGUUAUCCGGAAUUAUUGGGCGUAAAGGGUGCGUAGGCGGCCUGUUAAGUAAGUGGUUAAAUUGUUGGGCUCAACCCAAUCCAGCCACUUAAACUGGCAGGCUAGAGUAUUGGAGAGGCAGGUGGAAUUCCAUGUGUAGCGGUAAAAUGCGUAGAUAUAUGGAGGAGCACCAGUGGCGAAGGCGGCUUGCUAGCCAAAGACUGACGCUCAUGCACGAAAGCGUGGGGAGCAAAUAGG